rnacentral:rRNA from 1 species
UUCCAGACUCCUACGGGAGGCAGCAGUGAGGAAUAUUGGUCAAUGGCCGAGAGGCUGAACCAGCCAAGUCGCGUGAGGGAUGACGGCCCUACGGGUUGUAAACCUCUUUUGUCGGGGAGCAAAGAGAGUCACGUGUGACUCAUUGAGAGUACCCGAAGAAAAAGCAUCGGCUAACUCCGUGCCAGCAGCCGCGGUAAUACGGAGGAUGCGAGCGUUAUCCGGAUUUAUUGGGUUUAAAGGGUGCGCAGGCGGAGGUGCAAGUCAGCGGUCAAAUUGCGGGGCUCAACCUCGCUCCGCCGUUGAAACUGGCGUUCUUGAGUGGGCGAGAAGUAUGCGGAAUGCGUGGUGUAGCGGUGAAAUGCAUAGAUAUCACGCAGAACUCCGAUUGCGAAGGCAGCAUACCGGCGCUCAACUGACGCUCAUGCACGAAAGUGUGGGUAUCGAACAGGAUUAGAUACCCCCGUACAC